GCACUACUAGUUAUUGGGUGUUGGAGGGAGACUUUUGAGAGGAGGAAAUUUUACACCAGAUGGUGUAGGUUCAUGUUCCUCAUUCCUACAACCUUCCACCUCAAAAUUAUGAUGUACUCAGCCUAGUGAAUCCUUUAGAUAGUCGGCCUGAUGUAUGAGUUUAAUCCUGCAGGCACAGAGCUUAGCAUCUAGAACAAAGAAACAUCCCUGUAAGGGUUCCUUUCAAGUCUGGAGGUGAGACUUGAUAAUAGGCUAGGACAGGUACAGGUUCAGGCAGUACACUGCAAAUCACAUUCUUUAUAUUUCAUACUAAAGGUGAUGCAAUGGAAACCAGUAAUAUCCAAGCAAAGUGAGGACCUGAGAGCAAUGGAAUGGUAGGACAAUACCUAACUAGGACCUCAUACAUACCUGGAAAACAUGAUCUUUGCCCCUCACCAUAAGAACAGAAGAGGAACAGAAGACCUUGGAAAGAAUCUGUCUCACCAUCAGGGCAAUUUUCCAACUCAGCCUACAUCUGCAACUCUGGCGUCAAAGUGGAGUGGAAAAGUAAGUAGAUGAAUUAUAUCAUUCAACUUGCCUAAGCUAUCGGAUAAUAAUCAGGGAGCAGUGAAGUUGGGAUUU
ensembl:lncRNA